GCUAGCGGCAGGCUUAACACAUGCAAGUCGAGGGGUAGGGUAGCAAUACUUGAGACCGGCGCACGGGUGCGUAACGCGUAUGCAAUCUACCUUUUACAGAGGGAUAGCCCAGAGAAAUUUGGAUUAAUACCUCAUAGUAUAACAUGACCGCAUGGUCGAGUUAUUAAAGUCACAACGGUAAAAGAUGAGCAUGCGUCCCAUUAGCUAGUUGGUAAGGUAACGGCUUACCAAGGCUACGAUGGGUAGGGGUCCUGAGAGGGAGAUCCCCCACACUGGUACUGAGACACGGACCAGACUCCUACGGGAGGCAGCAGUGAGGAAUAUUGGACAAUGGGCGCAAGCCUGAUCCAGCCAUGCCGCGUGCAGGAUGACGGUCCUAUGGAUUGUAAACUGCUUUUAUACGAGAAGAAACACUGCUUCGUGAAGCAGCUUGACGGUAUCGUAAGAAUAAGGAUCGGCUAACUCCGUGCCAGCAGCCGCGGUAAUACGGAGGAUCCAAGCGUUAUCCGGAAUCAUUGGGUUUAAAGGGUCCGUAGGCGGUUUAAUAGUCAGUGGUGAAAGCCCAUCGCUCAACGGUGGAACGGCCAUUGAUACUGUUAGACUUGAAUUAUUAGGAAGUAACUAGAAUAUGUAGUGUAGCGGUGAAAUGCUUAGAGAUUACAUGGAAUACCAAUUGCGAAGGCAGGUUACUACUAAUGGAUUGACGCUGAUGGACGAAAG
rnacentral:rRNA from 1 species